UUCUAGGAGUGGAACUAAGCUUCAUCAAAUUCAAAAGCAUGUAUAAUGCUGCGCACUACACAAAACAAACAAAAAGAAUGAGAACAACCUGAGUAUACUGUCAUGAAUGGUAGCAGUAUGUUGCACAAGGUUGAUCCGGUUUUUUCCAAGGGCUGAGAUGUCUCUACUUAAAGGUGUUUUUUUUUUGCAUCAGCUUGGUUUUUUUUUGCGGGUGAUGUAUCACCUUGGUGAUAUACUUUUUUUGCGGGGAACCUUCGUGAUAUACUAUUAAGGUAAUAAAGGAGAAGAAGUUUAUCAAAGAAGGUAAUAAUUAGUAAAAAAAAUCACGUGCACACAAUUUAAGCUUUUCAACACUUUUAUCUUAUUCUAAACAAUAUUUUUUUCCAAGAAUGUUAUUUAAAAAAACACAUUUAUCAUAUUCUAAACAAUAUUUUUUCCAAAGAAUAUUCUUUA